UAUGAGACAGGAAAUUCCUGCUGUUUAAGCCACCCAGUCUGUGGUACUUUGUCAGGGCAACCCUCGCAAAUAGACAUACUGUCUGAUUCCAAACAUUCCCUCAUUUCUCUUUCCUUAGGUUCACCAUGGUUCAGAAAAGAUUGUCUUCUCUUGGCACACCCAGCUUUGACAGUGCACAUGAAUAGGAGACAGAGGUGCAGGCAGAGGCCAGGCCAGCCCGAGUCAAAGCUCAGGAACAGAGGAUGACGACUGUUGCAAAGGAGUGGCGGGGAAUGGUGGAGUGGAGGACCCUGGACAGCCAGCUGCCUGGAAAAAUCAUCUCUAUCCCUGGAACACGUUUGGUUCCCAAAAGCCAAUGACAAACAGCAGCACUCGAUGCCGGAAGACAACGGAGAAGCAUCUGUCUAACUCGAGAAUAAAGUAUCCAGCCAAGAGGUCCAGACUGGAAAGUAACACACCAUCCAUCUCAAACAGCCAGAAACCCAGGGAAUACAGAUGGCAUUCAUGAGCUCUUCUCAGAAAAUAUCACCCAGGUGACAAAAUCCAGACCAAUGAAAGAGGAAAUCAAAAUAAAGAUAGAGAAAUGGAUAAGCUGUGAUCAAAGGUCUAAUGAUGCUACUGAAUCUGCCUAUUAGAAGCUUGGAUGCUUAGACCAUGAAGCCACAGUGGAAACUUUAAGACAGUCCUCAAGAGCUAGCAGCAGUCUCGGAGGUAGAGGUCAUUGACAUCAGGCAGAAAGGCCAGACCUCCCCAACCAACCCCCUGCCCCCGGAACGCCAAUAGUGUCUCUCAUUUGAUUGGCAGUUUUGUAAAACUGGGAUUUGAAUGUCUUGAGUCUGGCAUACACUGCUAGUUGCGAUAAUUCCCACUAACUUCUCUUGUACUAUAUGAGGCAUUUUAUACAUUCAUAUUAUUAAUCUGCCUGGACCAUGAAGGCUUUUUACCCAGCACUGAAGAGUUAGUUGAUUAAUUUGUUCUUUUUUCUCAUUCAUCCAUGUAUUCAACACAUUUUUUUUUU